UUUUCCAAAGCAAAUAUUUAAUACAAAAUCUUUUCCCCACACAACACAACAAAACCAACGUCGUCACCCUUCUUUUUCAUUCUCCUCUUCUUCUUCUUCUUCUUCCUCCUCUUCUUCUUUUUUAUCCCUCUCUCCCUCUCCACGCUCAACCUACAGCACCUCCUUUUCUGAAUCUGAUGCAAGCUCCGUUUUGAAGGGUCAUUUUUUACUUGUUUCAAGAGCAAGUAGUGGAAGGUGGAUUGACCCUCUAGCUUGGUAAAAGCAUCAGGAUAAAAAAUAUCGUUUUUUUUCUUUGUGGGUAUUGGAUUUUGAGUUUCUGUUGACCUAGAAAAAUUGAAAUGGUGGGUAUAUUUUCGAGAUUUUCUGUUGGAAGGAACAUCCACCGACGGACGCAAAGUGCUCUGGAUGAGAGGGAAGUAAUGCCCCCAAAUGCGGAGGUUGCUGCCACAGCAAGUGCCGCCGCCGCCGCUCCACAUGGAAUUGAAGUGGCGGUGGAGUUUAAGCCAGUUGAGCACCCAAUUGAACCCCUUGACAAUGAUAGACCGAUUCAGUGCCCAUUACCAGAACCAUCAAUUCUAAAUGAUGGAAGAAUAUGGAAGGAGCGAGUAUCUGCCACUGUUCGGAGAAGAGGCGACUUGCCGGUGAUGAAAGAAGGAGGAGCCCUUGAACCUGAAGUUGCCGGCACAAAGCCUCGGACAUCCCAGUCUAACAGAAUGAUUCUUCCAUCUCUUAGUGCUCCAGAGCACAAUCUCUUAAAACUUCUUGAAGAGUGUAAUGCUUCAGGCAUCUAACCUGGUGAACUCAGAGUCAUGUGUUCGAGCCGGGAAAUUCGAUGCAUGCAUUAGGUUAGGCCAUGUAUAUUACGCCAUUUGUGCGCGGCCCUUCGCCGGAUCUUGCCUAACACCGGAUGUUUUGCAUCGGACUGUUUUUCAAACACAUGAAUGUAUAUUCAAAUGUAUCAUUGUGAAAGUUGAAUCUGCUAUAUUUUUGCUACAUGCUUUAUAUGCAUACUCAAUUGUUUUGGUCAUAAUCUCUUAAUUUCUGUGUAGUUAACAUUGAACUUAUUUAUGAUCUCCUAUAAUGUCUACUCUUGAAGAAGAGUAGAAUCUGGUUCCUCUAGGCUGCACUUUAUAGCUUGAAAAAUAAAAUGCAUUAAGUCAUGAUUCUGAUUGAGCA